GCGGUGUAGGAGCAGUGGGCAAUAACAGGAAAUGACAGAAAGGCAGGGCUGAGCCUUUCCAGCAGGGUAGGUGUUGUGUGUUAUGUUGCAGGAGUUGGCAGAGGAGCACAGGCUGGGGGUGCUCUGUUACAGUGUCCUGCACGGUUUCCACUACCCAGCAGCCUCAGAAGAAUCCCAGAGCCCUGUGUUGGCCCAGUAGUAAUGUGAACCUGUGGCCUUGGAAAGGAGGCUCUAUAGUCCCUAUAGAGACUUAGUUAAACUUCCUGUCAUUCCUCUGGACUUUCUCUUUAACCUUCUCCGCCCACUCCCUGGUUUGUGUCACCACAGCAUUUGUAGAACCACAGGAGAGAGUUGAUUUUACAAGAAAGCCGGGAUUCAGCUGGGCAGUGGGAGGCAGAGACAGGCGGAUUUCUGAGUUUGAGGCCAGCCUGGUCUACAGAGUGAGUUCCAGGACAGCCAGAACUACGGAGAAACCCUGUCUCAAAAAACAAACAAACAAAACAAAACAAAAGCCAGGAAACCUAAAACAUUUCAGUGGUUGUCAGUGCAAUCACUGUCAAUAAUACCCUGGUAAGGAGAUGGGGAGGGAUCACAUAAAACAACAUUUCUUCAUGAUUCUGACUUUAGCAUGAGUUUCUUGGGUUUCGGUGGGGCUGAGUUUGAGACAAGUUUUCCUUUCUGCCUGCCUCCUCUCACUCUCCCCUAGCUGCUGGGAUUACAAGCGUGAGCACGGCACACCUGCCAUGUAGUGUGAACUCACUGCACAAGACUAAAAUGUAGAAAGCUGGUGAAACCAACUCUCAGGCGUUCGAGGAGGCGUUCUGGAAUCAGAAGUGGAAGAACACAGGGAAACUCAUUUGGCUUCUGUGGUGGAAACAAGUCACUUUCUCUGAGUGGGACCUGCUGCCGCUUGGAAGGUCACCCGUCUGAGACCCUCCCAGCCUCUGAUUCCUAUUUGAUGUGACUGGAUAUUGAGACCAGGGCUCCAGCACUGAGCUGCAUCCCCAGCCCGGGACGGGGCAUGGGUUUCAUUUGCUAGAAUCUCGGGAGCAUCCUAGAAGAGUUGUUGUUACUGAUGCAUCCCAGCCUCUGAGAAUCGUCACAGCUGUUGCUCAUGUGUGUCCCGUGUUUGUUUGGUUUCUUUUUUUUUUUUUAAGUAAAAUUUAGUUUUACUCAUGUGUAAACAGUGUCAGUUUUAGGUAGGUAAGGAAGGGAAGGCUCCAUUUUAUCUCUGUGUGUUUCUUGUUGGAGAUUGCUGCUGCUGUUUUACAGUGGGCCUUGCUUGCUGUCUCAUCUUCCUGUGGUUUAGAGUUUUGUACCACAUACACCACGUCCUUACAUACACCUUUUCCUAACUGUCACCUGGGGAUGUAUUAAGUCAGUGCAGUCUAGACCGAGCAAGCUACACUAAUGGCUUAGAUGUAGUUACAGCCUGAAGUUUAUUUUCCUUUACCAACUUAAUUCUAAGGACGCUUGAAUGUAGGACCUGUACGGUGUAUGUGUUAAAGUUAUGUUUCCUUUUUCCUAAAUGCCUAAGACCGGUAGUGUUUCAGAUUUUAGAUUAAAAAAUGUUUUGAAAUAUUUGCAUACAUAUUAUGUAAUCUAUAUUUUAUACAUACAUACAUACAUACAUACAUACAUACAUACAUACAUACAGGGAGGGGGAAGAAAGAGAUGAAACCCAAAUAGAGCUAUAAAAUUCCUUGGUGUUUCACAUGCGUCUGCCUUGUGCACACAGCUUGAAGGACAUUUGCUCUGUGUUUGAGCGUGUCUGAGAGCUGACUGACCUGCACACAGGAGGCCGGUUGUGCAGUUCUCACCUGGGUCGUGCCACUCACGGUUGGAAUUCUGGGUUUCAGGUUGGGUGUGUUCGACCUGGACUGUUAACUAGUGAGUUGCUGUGUGUUUUAUAACUGUAGGUAAUAUUUAGCUUGCCUCAAAUAUUUUAAGCUGAUUUUUAGUUUUAACAAAUACUCCUUAUUGGAUGAACUACACAGGAAAACUUUCUUCUGUUUUUUUUUUAACCAUGUCUCUUUGUGACAUAAACAUCGGGGUAUUUAGGGUAAAGUAGACACUGCAUGUUUUUUAUGAGGAUGUCGAGUGAUACAGUUCCAUUGUCACUGCUGUUUUUAAACUGUACAGUCUCAACGUUUGAGUGAGUAAACAUUUGCAGAACACUGGGGAGAAGUAAAGGCCCUGUGCUCUGUGCUACCUCCUCCCAGGAUGAUGUAGUUCAGGAUGUAGCUCAUAUGGACCACACCGAGGUGGAGGGGGCACCUGGAAACUGCCUUGGGAGUUUUUGAGGAGGGGCUUCCAAAAUAUUUUAAAACACAUGAAUCACUUCAGUCUGUUUAAACAAACAAAAAAAUUGAUAUCAGGUCCCUUUUAGAAGAAUAAUUGUCUCACUUUAUAAUAUUUUUUAAAGAAAGAAAAACAUUUCUGAUGGUUUUUGUGUUCUGUGAUUUCUAACUCUUUACCUGAAGCAAUCUUCUGAAGCAUGUCCCACACCAUCAGAGUAACUUGAUGGUGACUAUCAUCUUUGUACCCGUUAGCAGUCUCCAGUCAUCUGUGAGAGGGGAUAAACUACUUUGCUACUACUUUAGGCCGCUUGUGGUCUAGAGACACAGCUGAGGAUGGGGUGUUCGGGUAUGUGAGAGGUUAGUAUUUUCAAAAGCAAUCUCUGAUAUUGUGACUAUAAUUAUUUUGUAGUGUUUUAAUAGAUGCAUAUUAAAAUUUGUAGAAAAAUA